rnacentral:lncRNA from 1 species
UGUAGAGCAAAGGUGCAUUAAGAUUGACCAUGAGAUGGUUCAAUUUAGGUUGCACCUAGGGUUCGACCCAUAAACCAUCAUAUGGCUCAGAUGAUUUUUCAGAAGUCCAUAACUAUUAGACUUUCUUUAUAUGCUUUUACAUACUGGUAGUUAGAAUUUAAAAUUAUAUAUGAUGAAUUUUUAUGUAAAUAUAUUUUGGAUGUGCAUG